CGCUGGGUUUCCUCGGCGUCGUGGUGAGCAGGGGCAGCCCCGGCUGCCGUGGGCGUAGCACGCAGAGGUGGAUCCACUGACCGCACUCGGACUCCACCUGCUUGCAGCACAGAACGUUCUGCCCUGGCUACAACAACGAUCGAGGAAGAGCGGCGUUGCAACGUUUUAGAUUUAGUCCAGGCAAUUACUGCUUGGAUUGAUUUUUUGCUGAAUUUGUUCGGAGCAAAAAGCAUUCUGGCUGCAAGUAGGUGUUCAAUUCUAGUUUUUGUUGCUUUAAUUAUCAAUGCAAAUUAGGGGCCGCAUCAAUUAGCUUGUGUGCAUCAGUUCUAGUUCUUUGUGUGGCUAGCAUCCACCGUACACCUGUUGUAAAAUUCUUUAUCCGACAGUUUCUUUUCUGAA